CCUACGGGGUGCAGCAGUGGGGGAUAUUGGACAAUGGGGGAAACCCUGAUCCAGCGACGCCGCGUGAGUGAAGAAGUAUUUCGGUAUGUAAAGCUCUAUCAGCAGGGAAGAAAGAAAUGACGGUACCUGAGUAAGAAGCCCCGGCUAACUACGUGCAAGCAGCCGCGGUACUACGUAGGGGGCAAGCGUUAUCCGGAAUUACUGGGUGUAAGGGGAGCGUAGACGGUAAUGCAAGUCUGGAGUGAAAGGCGGGGGCCCAACCCCCGGAAUGCACUGGAAACUGUAGGUCUUGAGUACUGGAGAGGCAGACGGAAUUCCUAGUGUAGCGGUGAAAUGCGUAGAUAUGAGAAGGAACUCCAGUGGCGAAGGCGGUCUGCUGGACAGCAACUGACGCUGAGGCGCGAAAGCGUGGGGAGCAAACAGGAUUAGAUACCCCAGUAGUC
rnacentral:rRNA from 1 species